rnacentral:sRNA from 1 species
GCUGGGCAUGGUGGCACAUGCCUAUAAUCUCAGCAGCUUGAGAGGCUGAGGCAGGAAGAUCGUGAGUUCAAAGCCAGCCUCAGCAAAAGUGAGGUGCUAAGCAAAUCAGUGAUACCCUGUCUCUA